AAAAAUCUUAGAUCAUUUUGUAAAAUGUUAAUCCCAAAUACUAGUUAAAAUUAAAUCAACUCAUAAAAUGUGAUAUCUUUUUUUUACGUAUUUAUAUGGCCACGCCUUAUAUUAUUAGUUUUGUAUUAAGUAACUUUAAGUAAAAGUUAAUUCAAUUUAGAGAUCGGUGUCCACAUUGUGCCGGCUAAACCUAGUUUCGGUCGGUCACUAAUAGAGAAUCAACUAUAAUGACAAAAUUAUCUGUUGAUCAAUAACAGUCGAAAUGAACAUCAAUCUAUCUUUAAUCCGUCGAUAAGUUACUUGGCAAUGUUGCUAAAUAAUUUAUCGACAGUAUAGAUAGAUUGAUUAUUUUCAGCGUAAAAGCACACGGAUGAUUCGUAACAGAUGUUGGGAGGACACUUACUUCUUUAAUUGUACAGAAAAAAAUUACAUACAAUUCUUUUCACGUAGAAAGACCGCUGAUAUUGUCUUUGCCGUAGGUGAUUAAUAUUCUAUUUGGUGAGGGGCGGGAGCGUCUAUUCGGCCGCGCAUUGGUUCUUAAGACGAUCGUUCGGUUCUGUAUUAACUAUUUGCCUCUAGGUAAGAUCAGUGUCUACAACUAUAAUGCGCAUUGUGCAUCCUUUUUGUUGCCCAGCGUCUUUUGGAAUCGAAAAAUACAUCAAAACUUAUUAAAAAAAAAAAUUGGUGAUUGAAUAAUCAGACCUUAAUGAAUAUGUAUUGUAAUUUUUCUGUAAAAUUAAGUACGUAAUUUUUACGUUCUGCGGGAGUCGACGAAUUUGAGACUGAUGAUAAGUGAGUUUAGACUAUGUAACCACAUCAUGAUGAAAAAAUAUAUAAAAAAAAUGAAAUCAAAUUUCAUUUUCAUUCCCAUUUUUCGAUAUGCACUUCUAUGCACGGAGCUACAUUCUAUAUUCCUUUAUGCUAACAGACCAAUUAAACAAUAGUGUCAAAAUGAGAACCUCUUCCCUUUUAUUUAGUUAAAAAUUUAAGUAGGUAUGUUGUUUUGAAAAAUGCAUCAUCUAUAUACAUAUAAUAAAAUUGUAGAAAAGU